rnacentral:rRNA from 1 species
AGAACGAACGCUGGCGGCAUGCCUAACACAUGCAAGUCGAACGAGACCUUCGGGUCUAGUGGCGCACGGGUGCGUAACACGUGGGAAUCUGCCCUUGGGUUCGGAAUAACAGUUGGAAACGACUGCUAAUACCGGAUGAUGACGUAAGUCCAAAGAUUUAUCGCCCAAGGAUGAGCCCGCGUCGGAUUAGCUAGUUGGUGGGGUAAAGGCCUACCAAGGCGACGACGGGUAGCUGGUCUGAGAGGACGACCAGCCACACUGGAACUGAGAUACGGUCCAGACUCCUACGGGAGGCAGCAGUGGGGAAUCUUGCACAAUGGGCGAAAGCCUGAUGCAGCGACGCCGCGUGGGGGACGAAUGCCUUCGGGUUGUAAACCCCUUUCGGCAGGGAAGAAGCGCAAGUGACGGUACCUGCAGAAGAAGUCCCGGCUAACUACGUGCCAGCAGCCGC